rnacentral:rRNA from 1 species
CUGCUGCCUUCCGUAGGAGUCUGGGCCGUGUCUCAGUCCCAAUGUGGCCGGUCGCCCUCUCAGGCCGGCUACUGAUCGUCGCCUUGGUGAGCCGUUACCUCACCAACCAGCUAAUCAGACGCGGGUCCAUCCUAUACCACCUCAGUUUUUCACACCGAACCAUGCGGUUUUAGUGCGCUUAUGCGGUAUUAGCAGUCAUUUCUAACUGUUAUCCCCCUGUAUAGGGCAGGUUACCCACGCGUUACUCACCCGUCCGCCA